CCUACGGGUGGCAGCAGUGAGGAAUAUUGGUCAAUGGACGAGAGGCUGAACCAGCCAAGUAGCGUGAAGGAUGACUGCCCUAUGGGUUGUAAACCUCUUUUAUAAAGGAAUAAAACGAGGCACGGGUCCCUUUUUGCAUGUACUUGAAGAAUAAGGAUCGGCUAACUCCGUGCCAGCAGCCGCGGUAAUACGGAGGAUCCGAGCGUUAUCCGGAUUUAUUGGGUUUAAAGGGUGCGGAGAUGGGUUGUUAAGUCAGUGGUAAAAGUUUGGGGCUCAACCCUAAAAUUGCAGUUGAUACUGGCAGUCUUGAGUACGGGUGGGGUAGGCGGAAUUCGUGGUGUAGCGGUGAAAUGCUUAGAUAUCACGAAGAACCCCGAUUGCGAAGGCAGCUUACU
rnacentral:rRNA from 1 species